rnacentral:rRNA from 1 species
CAGCCGCCGCGGUAAUACGGAGGGUGCAAGCGUUAAUCGGAAUUACUGGGCGUAAAGCGCACGCAGGCGGUUUGUUAAGUCAGAUGUGAAAUCCCCGAGCUUAACUUGGGAACUGCAUUUGAAACUGGCAAGCUAGAGUCUUGUAGAGGGGGGUAGAAUUCCAGGUGUAGCGGUGAAAUGCGUAGAGAUCUGGAGGAAUACCGGUGGCGAGGGCGGCCCCCUGGACAAAGACUGACGCUCAGGUGCGAAAGCGUGGGGAGCAAACAGGAUUAGAUACCCGUGUAGUCCAUGUCUCUUAUAC